GUGCUCGCUUCAGCAGCACAUAUAUUCAAAUUAGAACAAUACAGAGAUUAGCAUGGCCCCUGCAUAAAGAUGACAGGCAAAUUCAUGAAGUGUUCCAUAUUUUA